rnacentral:rRNA from 1 species
AGCGCGAGUCUUCGGGUGCGAGUAAGUGGCGGACGGGUGAGUAACGCGUGGGAAUCUGCCUAGUAGUUGGGGACAACUCGGGGAAACUCGAGCUAAUACCGAAUACGCCCUACGGGGGAAAGGCUUCGGCCGCUAUUAGAUGAGCCCGCGUAAGAUUAGCUUGUUGGUGGGGUAAUGGCCUACCAAGGCGACGAUCUUUAGCUGGUCUGAGAGGACGAUCAGCCACACUGGGACUGAGACACGGCCCAGACUCCUACGGGAGGCAGCAGUGGGGAAUAUUGGACAAUGGGGGAAACCCUGAUCCAGCAAUGCCGCGUGUGUGAAGAAGGCCUGCGGGUUGUAAAGCACUUUCAGUAGGGAAGAUUAUGACGGUACCUACAAAAGAAGCACCGGCUAACUCCGUGCCAGCAGCCGCGGUAAUACGGAGGGUGCGAGCGUUAAUCGGAAUUACUGGGCGUAAAGCGUACGUAGGUGGUUUGGUAAGUUGGAUGUGAAAUCCCCGGGCUCAACCUGGGAAUUGCAUUCGAAACUGCCUCACUAGAGUCUAGCAGAGGGAUGGGGAAUUCCGGGUGUAGCGGUGAAAUGCGUAGAGAUCCGGAGGAACAUCAGUGGCGAAGGCGCCAUCCUGGGCUAAGACUGACGCUGAGGUA